UACGUAGGGUGCAAGCGUUAAUCGGAAUUACUGGGCGUAAAGCGUGCGCAGGCGGUUCGCUAAGACCGAUGUGAAAUCCCCGGGCUUAACCUGGGAACUGCAUUGGUGACUGGCGAGCUAGAGUGUGGCAGAGGGGGGUAGAAUUCCACGUGUAGCAGUGAAAUGCGUAGAGAUGUGGAGGAAUACCGAUGGCGAAGGCAGCCCCCUGGGCUAACACUGACGCUCAUGCACGAA
rnacentral:rRNA from 1 species